rnacentral:tRNA from 2 species
CGGGGUGUAGCGCAGUUUGGUAGCGCGCAUGAUUCGGGAUCAUGAGGCCGGAGGUUCAAAUCCUCUCACUCCGACCA